rnacentral:tRNA from 1 species
CAAGGAAUAGUUUAUAUAGAAUUUCAGCUUUGGGUGUUGAAGGUGGAGCAUGGUGCUUCUUCCUUGA